rnacentral:rRNA from 1 species
AUUGAACGCUGGCGGCAGGCCUAACACAUGCAAGUCGAGCGAGCGGCGGACGGGUGAGUAAUGUAUGGGGGCUGCCCGAUAGAGGGGGAUAACUACUGGAAACGGUGUCUAAUACCGCAUACUAUCGGAUAACCCAUAUGGGAUUAGCUAGUAGGUGGGGUAAAGGGUCACCUAGGCGACGAUCUCUAGCUGGUCUGAGGGGAUGACCAGCCACACUGGGGCUGGGACACGGCCCAGUCUUCUACGGAGGCAGCAGUGGGGAAUAUUGCACAAUGGGCGCAAGCCUGAUGCAGCCACGCCGCGUGUAUGAAGAAAGCCUUCGAGUUGUAAAGUACUUGCAGCGGGGAGUCGUUACCCGAAGAGGAAGCAACGGCUAACUCCGUGCCAGCCGCCGCGGUAAUAC